rnacentral:lncRNA from 1 species
GACAAAAUUGUAGGUGACCCAUGGUGGUACUGGAUGUGCCUGGUUGGGAGGAGUGGAGUGGUGGUGGUCCGCACUCGAAACGGUGGCCGACGAUGGUGGAAAUAUGACGAAAAUUGUGACUGGUAGCGUAGUUUUGGCUGGUAAUUGGGGCUGUUUUGGACAACUCUGUGGCCAGGUGAUGACAAGAGGUUGAAGAGGGAGGUGAGGAGGUUCGAAUGGUUGUGAAAUCUGGUGUUCUAGGUGGCGGGUGGUGGUCGAUUGUUGAGGAAGAAGGUAGCGGGUCUU